GAUGAACGCUGGCGGCGUGCCUAAUACAUGCAAGUCGAGCGAACAGACGAGGAGCUUGCUCCUCUGACGUUAGCGGCGGACGGGUGAGUAACACGUGGAUAACCUACCUAUAAGACUGGGAUAACUUCGGGAAACCGGAGCUAAUACCGGAUAAUAUAUUGAACCGCAUGGUUCAAUAGUGAAAGACGGUUUUGCUGUCACUUAUAGAUGGAUCCGCGCCGCAUUAGCUAGUUGGUAAGGUAACGGCUUACCAAGGCAACGAUGCGUAGCUGACCUGAGAGGGUGAUCGGCCACACUGGAACUGAGACACGGUCCAGACUCCUACGGGAGGCAGCAGUAGGGAAUCUUCCGCAAUGGGCGAAAGCUUGACGGAGCAACGCCGCGUGAGUGAUGAAGGUCUUCGGAUCGCAAAACUCUGUUAUUAGGGAAGAACAAAUGUGUAAGUAACUAUGCACGUCUUGACGGUACCUAAUCAGAAAGCCACGGCUAACUACGUG
rnacentral:rRNA from 1 species